rnacentral:rRNA from 1 species
UAGUCCAUGCCGUAAACGAUGAGCACUAGGUGUCGGGGGUCGAACCUCGGUGCCGCAGUUAACACAUUAAGUGCUCCGCCUGGGGAGUACGGUCGCAAGAUUAAAACUCAAAGGAAUUGACGGGGGCCCGCACAAGUAGCGGAGCAUGUGGUUUAAUUCGACGCAACGCGAAGAACCUUACCUAGACUUGACAUCCUAAGAAUUUGGCAGAGAUGCCGGAGUGCCCUUCGGGGAACUUAGAGACAGGUGGUGCAUGGUUGUCGUCAGCUCGUGUCGUGAGAUGUUGGGUUAAGUCCCGCAACGAGCGCAACCCUUAUCGUUAGUUGCUACCAUUAAGUUGAGCACUCUAGCGAGACUGCCCGGGUAACCGGGAGGAAGGUGGGGAUGACGUCAAAUCAUCAUGCCCCUUAUGUCUAGGGCUACACACGUGCUACAAUGGCUGGUACAAUGAGCUGCAAACCCGCGAGGGGGAGCCAAUCUAUAAAACCAGUCUCAGUUCGGAUUGUAGGCUGAAACUCG